rnacentral:rRNA from 1 species
GGUGAGGAAUACAUCGGAAUCUACUUUUUCGUGGGGGAUAACGUAGGGAAACUUACGCUAAUACCGCAUACGACCUACGGGUGAAAGCAGGGGAUCUUCGGACCUUGCGCGAUUGAAUGAGCCGAUGUCGGAUUAGCUAGUUGGCGGGGUAAAGGCCCACCAAGGCGACGAUCCGUAGCUGGUCUGAGAGGAUGAUCAGCCACACUGGAACUGAGACACGGUCCAGACUCCUACGGGAGGCAGCAGUGGGGAAUAUUGGACAAUGGGCGCAAGCCUGAUCCAGCCAUACCGCGUGGGUGAAGAAGGCCUU